UACAGGGGGGGCAAGCGUUGUUCGGAAUUACUGGGCGUAAAGGGCUCGUAGGCGGCCAACUAAGUCACACGUGAAAUCCCCAGGCUUAACCUGGGAACUGCGUGUGAUACUGGAUGGCUUGGAUCCGGGAGAGGGAUGCGGAAUUCCAGGUGUAGCGGUGAAAUGCGUAGGUAUCUGGAGGAACACCGGUGGCGAAGGCGGCAUCCUGGACCGGUAUUGACGCUGAGGAGCGAAAGCCAGGGGAGCAAACGGG
rnacentral:rRNA from 1 species